AGUGAACGCUGGCGGUAGGCCUAACACAUGCAAGUCGAACGGCAGCACAGGAGAGCUUGCUCUCUGGGUGGCGAGUGGCGGACGGGUGAGGAAUACAUCGGAAUCUACCUUUUAGUGGGGGAUAACGUAGGGAAACUUACGCUAAUACCGCAUACGACCUUCGGGUGAAAGCAGGGGACCUCCGGGCCUUGCGCGGAUAGAUGAGCCGAUGUCGGAUUAGCUAGUUGGCGGGGUAAAGGCCCACCAAGGCGACGAUCCGUAGCUGGUCUGAGAGGAUGAUCAGCCACACUGGAACUGAGACACGGUCCAGACUCCUACGGGAGGCAGCAGUGGGGAAUAUUGGACAAUGGGCGCAAGCCUGAUCCAGCCAUACCGCGUGGGUGAAGAAGGCCUUCGGGUUGUAAAGCCCUUUUGUUGGGAAAGAAAAGCAGCCGGUUAAUACCCGGUUGUUCUGACGGUACCCAAAGAAUAAGCACCGGCUAACUUCGUG
rnacentral:rRNA from 1 species